rnacentral:lncRNA from 1 species
UCUCUCUCUCUCUCUCUCUCUCUCUCCUGUUUCUGUUUCUUUAUCUGUGUCUCUUUUUUUCUCUGUCUCUCGCUCCCCCCAAUUUCUUUUCCUUCCCUUUUGUUUUUGCCUUAAAACGUAAGUUUAAAUUUCCACCCAGGGGCCCUGUCCUCAAUGAGAGAUCUGUAUUACAUCGAGGUCCUUGGAGUCAAAGAUCACUGGAAGCAUUUUACUCAACUUUGCGGAGAUGUUUAAAUGUCUACCCCUCCAAGACGGCUCCUCCCCUCUCCUUGAAGUUAUGAGGCAGGAGACUGGGGCCAGCCAGCCUGCUGGACAAGUGGGCGUGACCUGUCAAUCACCGAGAAUCAGGACACAUGCACCCAAGCCCUGCGCCUGGGACCAGAGAAUGCUGCCUUCAGUUUUUUUGGACCAAGACCAAGCAGGUUUCUGAUAGGACGGCCUAGAUCCAACGUCAGAAUGGGAGGCUUAAAAGACUGGCCAUUAAUUUCUGGACUGCUAUGGGCCCUUUCGUCAGUCCGCUCUGCAUUGGGCAGAGCAUGCUUCUUUUCCUACCUGUAGUCUGCCCACAGUCCCCCA